rnacentral:rRNA from 1 species
AUACAGAGGGUGCGAGCGUUAAUCGGAAUUACUGGGCGUAAAGGGUGCGUAGGCGGCUUGAUAAGUCGGAUGUGAAAGCCCCGGGCUUAACCUGGGAAUUGCAUUCGAUACUGUCAGGCUAGAGUAUGUCAGAGGUUGGCGGAAUUCCUGGUGUAGCGGUGAAAUGCGUAGAUAUCAGGAGGAACACCAGUGGCGAAGGCGGCUAACUGGGGCAAUACUGACGCUGAGGCACGAAAGCGUGGGGAGCAAACAGGAUUAGAUACCCUAGUAGUAC